CGGAUCGUAAAGCUCUGUUGUUAGGGAAGAACAAGUGCGAGAGUAACUGCUCGCACCUUGACGGUACCUAACCAGAAAGCCACGGCUAACUACGUGCCAGCAGCCGCGGUAAUACGUAGGUGGCAAGCGUUGUCCGGAAUUAUUGGGCGUAAAGGGCUCGCAGGCGGUUUCUUAAGUCUGAUGUGAAAGCCCCCGGCUCAACCGGGGAGGGUCAUUGGAAACUGGGAAACUUGAGUGCAGAAGAGGAGAGUGGAAUUCCACGUGUAGCGGUGAAAUGCGUAGAGAUGUGGAGGAACACCAGUGGCGAAGGCGACUCUCUGGUCUGUAACUGACGCUGAGGAGCGAAAGCGUGGGGAGCGAACAGGAUUAGAUACCCUGGUAGUCCACGCCGUAAACGAUGAUUGCUAANNGUUAGGGGGU
rnacentral:rRNA from 1 species